rnacentral:rRNA from 1 species
CAUUGAACGCCGGCGGCAGGCCUAACACAUGCAAGUCGAGCGGUAGCACAGAGAGCUUGCUCUCGGGUGACGAGCGGCGGACGGGUGAGUAAUGUCUGGGAAACUGCCUGAUGGAGGGGGAUAACUACUGGAAACGGUAGCUAAUACCGCAUAANGUCGCAAGACCAAAGUGGGGGACCUUCGGGCCUCAUGCCAUCAGAUGUGCCCAGAUGGGAUUAGCUAGUAGGUGGGGUAACGGCUCACCUAGGCGACGAUCCCUAGCUGGUCUGAGAGGAUGACCAGCCACACUGGAACUGAGACACGGUCCAGACUCCUACGGGAGGCAGCAGUGGGGAAUAUUGCACAAUGGGCGCAAGCCUGAUGCAGCCAUGCCGCGUGUGUGAAGAAGGCCUUCGGGUUGUAAAGCACUUUCAGCGGGGAGGAAGGCGAUGAGGUUAAUAACCUUGUCGAUUGACGUUACCCGCAGAGAGAAGCACCGGCUAACUCCGUGCCAGCAGCCGCGGUAAUACGGAGGGUGCAAGCGUUAAUCGGAAUUACUGGGCGUAAAGCGCACGCAGGCGGUCUGUCAAGUCGGAUGUAAAUCCCCGGCUCAACCUGGGAACUGCAUUCAAACUGGCAGGCU